rnacentral:rRNA from 1 species
UACGUAGGGGGCAAGCGUUAUCCGGAUUUACUGGGUGUAAAGGGAGCGUAGACGGUAGUGUAAGUCUGAUGUGAAAGCCCGGGGCUCAACCCCGGGACUGCAUUGGAAACUAUGUAACUAGAGUACCGGAGAGGUAAGCGGAAUUCCUAGUGUAGCGGUGAAAUGCGUAGAUAUUAGGAGGAACACCAGUGGCGAAGGCGGCUUACUGGACGGAAACUGACGUUGAGGCUCGAAAGCGUGGGAAGCAAACAGG